AAUGUCACUCCAUUAGGUAAUGCUGAUGUAUUUCAAAUUGAUUGGUUGACAUCAAAUAACACCUUGGGUCUAGGUGAUGAGGUCAGGAGGGCGAUUUAAGAGGGUCCCUCCAUGCUGAUGGAAGAGACAGGU